rnacentral:lncRNA from 1 species
GUGAGCAGGAGGAGGAGAGGCUGAGCUGGACAUGCAGGGCAGUCCAUGUUGGCUGCAAAGCAUGGUGAUGGUGGCCCCUGCCCCAAGGGCCUCUCACUGAGGCCAGCAGCUCAGCUGCUGCAGGUCCGAGUGGACCCUGUGGCACAUGGGGCCCUCCCCGCACUGCGGCAGACGGUGCUACAGCUAUGAUGAUGAGACUGGGGCUGCAGGAGCAGCCGAUUCCCAGUCUUCCCCUGCAGGAAAGACCGGGAGGCUGUCCCCGUGGUCUCACCGGCCCUGUGCAUGGUGACCUGGGCCUCCAGGGGAGUGGCCGGGUGCCCUGUUGGAUGUCCUGUAGCGAAUUUGUCUCUGGGAGAAGAGCAGAGAGAUGAAGGCCUCCAUGCCACAGCCCAGGCCGUGCACAUUUGUGUUGACCUUGGCCACAGGCCGACGGCGCGUCUGCGAGGUCUCUGCAUUGCAAGGCCCUUCUCCUCCUGAACUGAAGGCCUUCUUCCUCCUUUCCCCUCCUGAUUCUCUCGCCCUCCUGGUGCAUCCAGGUGCCC